rnacentral:rRNA from 1 species
AGGUAGAGCAAAUCCCCAAAAACCGGUACUCAGUUCGGAUUGCAGGCUGCAACUCGCCUGUAUGAAGUCGGAAUUGCUAGUAAUCGCGGAUCAGCAUGCCGCGGUGAAUACGUUCCCGGGCCUUGUACACACCGCCCGUCACACCAUGAGAGCCGGGAACACCCGAAGUCCGUAGUCUAACCGCAAGGAGGACGCGGCCGAAGGUGGGUUUGGUAAUUGGGGUGAAGUCGUAACAAGGUAGC